rnacentral:tRNA from 1 species
GGUUUCGUGGUGUAGCGGUAACACACUCGGCGCGUAUUCGAGAAGUCCAGGUUCGAGUCCUGGCGAGGGCA